UCCCUGUUUACUACCUGUGCUACCCAUUUGAUCAAUAUCUCUUUACCCAUUGUGGCUAGUUUUAGAUAAAGCACCGUCCAAUGUUCCGGCCACAGAGUAGUUCUGGCCAGUGAUUACCUCUUUAAAGCUGCCCAACAGCCCAAGUAUGUAUCUUUUUUUAGUACAAACACAAGCGUUCAAAUACACGCGCAUACACUCAUCCCUAUGAACGCACACACGCACAUCCUACCCCUAUGAGCACUUCCGAAAGACUAAGCCGGCAUAUCAUCUUGAGAUUUACGAAGUGACCGUAGGCGCCUCGUCGUCGACGGGAACGAACGCCUCCUCCCACUGAAAACGCAUUGCCAGAAAUCCUGAAAUAAAUCUAAAAAUAAAUACAAGCACCAGGAUUUGAAACUGAGGGACUGAGAAUACCAUAGUACAUGUAACCAUCCAACGUGUCGUUGGUUGGUUCGCACCCAAGUAUGUAUCUGUCGAUGGCAUACACGGCCCAGCAGCAUUAGACUAGUACGGCCGCAGCCAAUCAGCGUCUACGGGCACGCUGCCCACAAACCCGAUACGCUUGUCUGCGUCCACAGAGGAUCCGGUGCGCAUAUGACGCACGCAGUGACGUCAAAUGCGCGCAAGUUGCGGUAUGCCGGUGCGAUCCAGCUGUCACAACAAACCACCGCGCGGCACGCGUGGCGCAUCUGGCCCGUCCAAGGCCAACGACUCCAUCCCGGCCGUCCACUUCGGCCUACCAGACAAUAAAUACCUCCUCCUCCGCAUACCCUCCUACCAAACCAAGAGGAAACCUAGCCGCGUUCUCCUCUGCGGCACGCAACCUUUGUCCCCCUCUAGAUAUAGAACAACACGCCUCGUCCACCCAUACCUCUACAAGUCAGAUCUAGGCCUGACCUGUAGUUUCCUGACCGUGCUCGCCUCGAUCUCGGGGUAAGCUGAAUUCGGCGUCCAUGAUUUGUUCCGAUCACCCGUUUGUUAUCUGAUUCCCAGGUUUGUCCUUCUGAUCGGCGAGUUGGGGCUUGCGGCGAUCUUGGAGAAAAGACGGGAGGCAAGCUGGAUCUGCCCACGGAAGCUUCCGAUCUGCCCGGCUGGCGUCUCAGAUCUGUUGCUGUUCUGAUGCUUCACGGCGGAUCUGGUUUUUCCCGGCGGUCUCAAGUCGGCGCAGCGGCUGGCGGCGAGUUUUCCGGCAAGCACGUGGGAUCCCGUCUGCUCGUCUACCUCGUGCGACGACGGCCGACGGCUCUUUGUGUUGAUAAUUAUUCGAUGAUAUGUCGGUAAUUAUUAGAUCCAAGAGAUCGGAGGUGAUGAAAGGUAAGAAGAUGUAACAAGCGAGGUGCUUGUGGAGAGGGCGGAGAAGAGCGGAAAAAAAAGAGAUGUGAACAUCUAGAGGCCUUUGCCAUGUUGGGUGCGCUCGCAUGGCAGGCCGCCACCAUAAUAAAGAUGUUUUUUUUGUCUCGGGGGGAGAUCGCACGGGGGUUAUCUUGUUUUAGCCCCGGGUUCUCCCCCCUGUGUGCUGGUGUGCUCCUUUUGUCUGCACCUCUCGUCCGAUCCGACUACAUGGCACAACAAUUCUACCGUCGCGAAUCGAUCAUGGAGCUACAGACGAAAGAACAAAGGUACAAUCGAUAAUUUACAUACAGCUGAACCAUAUAUAAUCAUUGACACCACAAAUUUCAAUACAUACAAGGAUUAUCUUGAAUCCAUACAAGUAACUUUGGUAGAUAUAGAUAUAGAGAUUGUGUUGACACAUCACCACAAAUCUGCAACCAACUACAGCAGUCCAGCCUAAACAAAUUGUUUGCAUGCGGAUUUACAUAUUGUUGUAACAAUUCGAGUAUAUUUGGAUUCUUCACUCAGAAGUUGUGUUUAUUUGUAUGAUAUUCUGUACUAAAUUUAAGUUUAAUUCUCCCUAUAUAAGGAUUUUUUAAUAAGAAAUUCAUAUUAGACCCCUUUUCUCUGGUCUCCUGCUUCAUAUUGUAAUCUGUCUUACGUAAGAUACAAUUUAUGUAGCUUGAACAGCUGUAUGUGGGUCUUUGUAUUACCCAAAUGAAGCCUACAGCUAUACGCAGGUGGACACAUCUUUCUCGUUGGAGCUUGAAGAGACGUGAGAGCUCUAUGAUUCUGGAGAAAUCUGCCGAACACAUCUUACCUCAGGGAAUACCCGCUGGGAGGCUGGUUUACAUGUACUUGCUUACUAAUCUGGAUAAUCAUUUAUUAGAGCGCUAUUUUAAUCAGUUUCGCUACAUAUUAUGGUGAACAUUACAUCCAUUUGUAUCAGUUGGUUAAAGAUAAUUAGAUAUUUAUUAUAUUUGUGGA